CAUCUGGAGGGAAUCAAGAAGACCAGGUUACUCCCAAAGAGAACGGCCAGUUCGUUUGCGACAUUCAAAGGGGGUAAGAGGUUGGGGGUGGGGUGGGGUGAUGACAUGCCACUCUUCCCUUCCACCCCAGGACCAUACCAAAGCCAGCAACACCGAGAGCUGACUCGAGGUAAACACACUAAACAGGCAAAGACUAAAGAUAGCUCGUGUUGUGAGUCUUUCUUUUUAAGCAGUGAUUUGGUAAGAGCUGAACCAGAGAAAGAGAAAAACAUUACCAGAGAAGAAGAGGCUUGAAGAAAAGCCCAGUGCUGCUCAUGAAUAGAGGAACCAAAGUAAAGCCUACAACUAACUCCAGCAGUGGGUAGUGCAGAGCCGGAAGCUGUGGUGCCUGUCCUAACCCAGUGGCCUCGGGCAUAUCACCUAGGUGCUUUGAGGCUCCAUGUCCUCCGGUGUAGGACGAAAUUCAGUUUUUAAUAAAGCUUCUCCAAGCAUGUAAACACUCCCUGCCACACUCUGUUGGCCACUUAUGAAGCUUAAGUUCCAGUAAGCAUGUGAUCAUGUUUUGAAAACAGAAAAGUGCUCGGUAAAAAUCAGACCUUGUUUGCCUUAGUGGCCUCUGGGGGGAGUGGGUUGUGUGUACAGCUCAGGUGCCAGCUUUCUGAUUUCAGGUGCCAGCUUUCUGGCCAUGUACCUAAGGUAAUGACUAGCAAUUAUUCCUUUGCACCACUACAAGUUCUCAGGAGUUAUUUUCUAUCUUUUAAUAUACAGAUCUGCCGCCGCCGCUGCCGCCACAGCCCUCUUCCACUGCCAGUCAGGUGGACUCACAUUCUAAGAACUGAGUGAGGGCCACCACAUUUUCACCUUUGUGACCUUCAUCUGGAUGGCACUUUCCCAGAAAGGCUGAAGGCCAAAUCCUACCCAUCAUCUUCCAUGCCUAGUUUCAACAAAGUCUACCCAUCACCCUUCAUGCCUAGUUCCAAAGGCUCUUUUCUUCCAGUUGAUCCACAGAAUUAAUCUCCCCUUCUUACCCAUUCAACAAAUAACUGUGGAGUGCUUAGCUGUGUGCCAGACAUUAUUCUAGACUGCUCUAAAGUGGACAACUGUUAACAAAAUAAUGACCCUGCCCUCUUGGAGCUUUCUCUUCAUCAGAAAAGAGCUAACGUUAAACUAUCCUUCAUAGAAGAUGCUGUGGGCAGGAGGGAAGGGCAAGCAAUGGGAGACUGUAGCACAUGACAAGGAGGACCGCAGGCGGGUUGCAAUUUUAGAAAGGGUGGCAGGGUCCCUCACUGAGAUGGUGUCUUUGAGUGGAGCCUGGGAGAGUGACCCAGGCAUGCAGAGGGAGGAGCCAAUGUGAUAAAGGCCAGCAUGUGUGCAGUGAGUGCUGGGUAUGGAGCGUGGAAAGGAGGUCUAAGGUGGCAGUAUCUGCUUGAGAGGACAUUUGGGAAAGAGUGACAGUAUGUUACAUGCAGAUCAGUAACAUGCUGUGAACAUGAAGCUAGCACAAUUGGAAGCCACUGGAGGAAGCCACUAUGGGCAGGGACCUCAUAGGAUGGACAGGGACCUCAUAGGACAUGGUUUAUGAUGCCAAAAGAUUGAUUGCUCUGGCUGCCUCAUGGGAAAAUGGCUGCAGUUAUAAGAGGGAAUCAGGAGACCACCACAGGGGCUGAAGAAACGGGAGGAAUGGGCAUGGCUUCCUUUAGAUGACAGCUGGUGGGCAGAUUCCAAGGGUGUUUUUUAACCUUUUGUUGAGAGUUGCCUCACAUCCCUCUAAGGGACCUGUUGCCCUCUUCCCUUCUCAAAGCGUGCUCCUUGGAGGCAGGUUGUGCUCCCUUCUCUAUACACCCCACUUUGAGCCACGCAGGGAGCCUGGUCCCCAGCAGAGUUCCAUCAGUAUUUGGAGACUGCCAAAUUCCUCCUGGCGCUAGGCUCCAAACCAUCCUGCACUGUUUGUUUUCAGAAUUGUAACUACAGGAGGAGCUACAAGCGAACACAUUGAUCUUCCCAUGCUGUUCAGAGAGGAGCUGCCACAGAUGACAAAUUCCCUCACUAGGUGAUAGGUCUGCAACUCCUUCCCUGGCUCCCUUACUAAGUUAUCGAGAAAAUGUAAAAUAUCAAAUGGAAUUUGUUUUUAAAAAAAAAAACUGCUAAAAUUGCAUUUUCUCUGUAAAACCAAGUCUGGUUCCCCACCAUUUGCCACAUUCCCCCUUUUCAGUUGAUUUCUGCAUUUUUCAUCUGUCCUAGAAUCUCUGGUGACUCUGGACCCUCAUUUCCCCAAUGGCUUCCAGGAGUGGGGGUGACUCAUUUGUUUGUUUUUUACCAAACCUCAAGCAGUCAGCAUCAACCCCAACAGUUUUAUGUGUCUUUUACUACCUGCCUAGAGUUCAGAUUAAAUAUCUUAUACUUCAAGAUGACAACAACAACAUCUCUACUAGAAGCGGCAAGAAAGGUGAAGGUUGGAGAAUCGUUACAGUGAGAACCAGCUGACCUUCCUUGGAUAGUUGUGCAUAUGACACCAGUGAACACCACAAUGCACAGUCCGGAAGGCCAUGCUUGGGCUCCGUGUCACACUGGCAGGGCACUAGGAUACUCAAGACUGGCCCUGGGCCUGGGAAUUAAGAGUGCUACUCCAUGCACUAAAUUCCUUAGGUAGUUGGGUCAACUUCUGCGUGCUAUGACAAAAAAAGGAGGCAGAAAGGGAGUGGAGACACAAUGUAUAGAACAAAGGGUCCUCCCCUCAGGCUGAUCAUCUCCAGAAAGGGAGUGGAUGGUCUUUAUGUGGGAUGGCCCCUUGCUGAUUCCUGAUUCAACUAUGGAAGCGUAGAUGGGGGUGUCUGGCAGAGCAGCCAGCCUCUAAGAACUUGGCAGAACCCAUCCUGGAGGCUCUGUGGCAGGCUCACUAGACCUUAAAAAGGUCCAUGAAGUGAGGGUUCUAAGGACCUAAAAGCUUACUGACAGGUGUCCUCUUUUGUCAUUUUACUGAGAUGAAAAAAACCACUAAAGAUAACCAGCUAACUCGAUACCAUAUGGCUACCUGCUACUAACAGCAGAACCAAGGACCCACAGCUCUGGAUACCUGGCCCAGGGUUUCUCUACUACAAGACUCUCAAGUGAGACACACAGCUGAAAUCUCCACAGAAGGCCAACCUCCCAAUCUCACCAAAAUAUGACCCCAAACAAUUGUUACAAGUGAGCAAAGAUUUCACAGAGUGGUGUUUGCCACUACAUGCCUGUGUGUGUUUCUCGGGCAUCCAGUUGUGCAUUCCAAGCAGACAUAAUCCCAGAGAUCCAUGUUCCCCUGAACUAUCCAAAAACUGGGAUUCAAAGGUCAUAGCACUCGCUAUGUUAAUCGCUGUGAUGGUUUAAUCUUUGUUAUUAACUUGAUUGGAUCUGGGAUUAACUAAGAGAUAUAUCUUGGAGGGGGUGGGUCUAUGAGAGUGUUUCCUGAGAGAACUGACUGAGGGAAAAGCAGGGUUGGUUUUGCCUGCCUGUCUUCACCCUUGAUGGUGAUUGCACUGGCCUUGUGGUUGCUACAGCCGCCGCUGCCAUCCUUGGCUGGUGAUGGACCCUAACUUCUCAGCUUCUUAGUAUGGACCAAAGACCCAUGUUCUAGGAGAUGCUCCACUACGUCUUUAGUUCCAGACAGGACUGCUGAGACAUCCAGCCUUGUGCACUCAGCCUCUCCAGUAUGACGAUAGCCACUGCUGAACUACCCAGGAAGCAUGGUGUAAGCCAGUCUAAUAAGUCACCUCUGUGAUGUACAAUCAUUCCCAGAGAACUCCAGGUACUAACAACACAAUCACUUCCCUGAACGUGACGGUUCUGAAGUCUGAGCUCCUCAAACAACCCCAGAAUCAGAACACAUCCCCUCACAUGGGCAAGAGCAGGAAUCUGAGAGGAGACAUGGCUCAAAGUAUUCGAACAUCCUUGAGGUCAAAUGAAAAGUACAGAGUCCUCUAGAAAAAUACAUUAAGAUACAGAAGGAUGUAAAGAGAGUGGGGAAAAUCAAAAUCACCUUCUGUUAACAAGACGAUGAAAGGUCUUCCCACAAAUACAAAUUAUUUGUUAUUAUUUAUUCUUUUAUUUGUGGGCUCCCCUGGCUCCCAUUGACUGCUGAGAAGCAGGGGUUCAGAGAGACUCGACCAUGCCAGCUACCAGAACUCUUGUCCCUGUACAUCAUGAGGAAAGAUUCUACUGGCAGGCAAGUCAUGCUGUGCCACUGCAGUAGAAGAGGGACCUGCUGGGUGCCACAAGUGCAGGACAUGGAAGUCCUGACUUUCACUUUUGAGAAGGCCUUGGCAGAAAGACACCACCAUUUUCUUGUCUGUCAAGCAGUGUGAAAUCUGCCCAGGAAGCAGCAGAGCUGCACAAGGUUCUCGCAAGUCUUCCUGCGGCUUUCACAGCUUUCCCAACCCAGGCAUCCCAGGGAAGCCUCUAAACGGCCGAUGCAAAGAACUCUAGUAAACACAUUAUUUUUAACCUCUAAAAAAAUGAAUUUUUUUCCAUUGUUACUUCUCCAGCAAUCUCUGUCUAGACUGUCAGGUUUGCACUGUUUCUUGUCAGAUUUACACAACAAUGUGUGUAUACAUGUGUGUGCGUGUCUGUAUGGUCCCUCGAAAAAUCAGAAAGUCAAAGAAAGAAGAAAAUUAGGGCAAUUGCGGAGGGGAAAGUAUGGCAAACACAUUUCUGUUCCUACACUGUGAGUACUUCUUUCUUGAGUAGAACAAACAAACUUCCACCACCUAACACAUUUAUUUAUAAUUUAGUUCUCAAGCAGCAAUCGGGUAAGUCGAUAUCCAGAACUCUCUCUGUCCUCAGAAGAGAAUGCCUCUGCACCGCACCGUCUCAAAGCCGGAAGAUUUUCAUUAGAUGCAUUUAAUUGGGCUGACAGUCAGCUCAGGGCUUCCUCACUUAGAAGGACGAAGAGCGGGUGGACAGGCAACAUAUACAACAUGCCUAUUAAUUUCCAGCCGUUCGAGUUAUAGUGAAGCAAGGGCAGAUAGAAACCUGUAAGCCCCAUUUCUCAAUCUACUUAUACACCAUACCUGCCAGUCGGCCACACACAUGAAUCCACCAGCCCCUUGGGACUACCAGAGGUUGGCUUGGGUCAAUAGUGAAUGUCUCUGUAACACUCCCACAGGCGUGUUCACCUGCUACCUACAAACUAGCUUGUUUCCCUCCUAAGAUCAUCCAAAUCCCUUUAUACCUAAUAUGCAUCUGAGGUAAAUAUCUAGACCUGCUUUUCAAGGUUACACGCCUCAAUUGGCAUUAAUUGUACCCGUAAUACUUGCUGUAAAUCAAACGCCAGCUUUUACAUGAGACAUUAUACAAAAGUGGUAUGUAGGGCUGAAGGAGCUGUACUACAAAAGCUGUUAGCAAAACCAAUGCUAAUGCUUAUUUUUAGGGAUUUUUAAUUUGCUUGUGAUUUUGUUUGUUUGAGGCAGGCUCUGAGGUAUUCCAGGCUGACCUCAAGUUCGCUGUGAUGGUUAGGGUUACUUGUCAACUUGACACAGCCCAGAAUCACCUGUGAAGACGGUCUCAAUAAGAAUUUGUAUACAUAGAGUUGGUCCAUGGGCAUGGCUAUUGAUAUGGGAGAAUCAGCCCACUAUGGGCACCAUCAUUCCCUAGGCAGAGGGUCCAGAACCCUGUGUGAGUAUAGAUGUCAUGUUGAAAGCAAGUGAGCAUGCAUGUCUGUACUCCUUCUCUCUGAUCUCGACUGUGAAUGAAGCUGACAGCUGUUUCAAGCAUGUGCACUGUGGCUUCCCUGCAGUCAUGGGCUGAAACCUGGGACUAUAAACUGAAAUAAACCCUUUCUCCCCCAAACUGGUUUUGAUCAGGGCAUGUGAUCACAGAAACACUGUGAUCAAACUUGCUGUGUGGCCAAGAAUGACCUUUUCCUGACUCCACUUUUUGGGUGCUGGGAUUACAGAAGAUUGUCAUUGUACCCAGUCUGUGGUACUGAUGAUGUGGCUUCAUGUGGGCUAAGAGUGGGGUGUACUGUACAAACAGCCCAACCCCCACUAAUACAAACAUAUAAGAGAAUGUUCUCAGAAUUCACGUGCCCGAAAGUCAAGCCCUACAGUUUACGGGCCAUGGUGGAGUGGAGACUGGACAAGCCUUUACGUCACAAGCUUGCCACCACCAAAAGGGAUCCCCCCAACACGUGCUGAUGGAAAGAGGGGGCAGUUAGUUUUAUAGGUAGUGUUGAAAAUUGUACCAGAUGUUGAAAAACCAUCCACACACAGAACCGUUCCUCUGCCAACAACCAAAAUAAAACAUGCCUUCCAUAGAUAAGGCUAAUUCUCAGGUGGUGGUAGUAUGUGUGGAUAAAUUAACCUGACGGGGUGGAAAUGUCCAGAUUCCGCAUUCUUCCCAUUUGAAAACCACACUACUAUUGAUUCGCCAAAGGUGUCACCUGAUCCCCUCACACCCGCUAGCUUUGGAUACCACGCCACUAGAUGACAGAUGUUGGGAGUUAGUUGCUCCAUGGAGACCCCGCUCCAUGCUCGAAGACAGUGAUCGGGUGGUGGUGAACCGCGGGACUACAGAGCACAAAGAAGGCUUUUCUCUCGGGAUGAUUGUACCGCAGAAGGUGAGGCCACAACAGGGCUGGGGCCUGAUAGGAUUUUGCAAGGACCAUCAGGGUACAUUCUUGUUCAGCUUCAGAUGAUUCCUGGACCACAUUUCACAAGAGGAAAAAAAAAAAAAAGAGGCUGCAGGAUACCUAGAAUUUCACCCUCCAGGAAUAAAAGGUCUUUCCUCUUCUGAUUGGUCUGCUGAUGGACAUGCUCCACUCCCUACGCCUAUCACUGCAGCCAGAGGGCAGAACCUAGUGGGCUCAAUGUGGGUCACAGAAGAAAGGCCCGGCAAGAGGUGCCAGGAAGACAAAAGCCACCCACCCACUCCGUGCCGGUUAAUAAGUUUCUUCUGCAGCAUCCAGAGCUGCUCUCCACCAGUUUUAUGAUGUGAGCACAAAACACAUCUGUAGUUGGGCUGGCUUCAUCUGCCAACGUCUCAGUUUUCCCUUUGUGGCCUGAGAGCCGGAGAAUAUUUCUGACUCCACUCGGCCCUGAAACGGGGAGGGGGCCUUGUAGGUCUUCAGGGCUUGGUGUUCUCUGUCUGAGAUAAAGGCCCCACCAGUUCCCAGGACAAAGGUUCAGAGAAGACACAGCUGUCAGCCAGGGCAAGAGGAAAACUUAGGAACUGGCAGGGUGGUGGAACAACAAGAUUCCUGACCCCAGUGCAGCCGAGAGGCAGCCUAGGAGAAGCCUGUACCUGAGACUGCAGAGGGGAUCCUGGGCCGGACCAGUCAUCACACACAGCACUGCCUGCAAAUUAUGAUGCAAAUCCCCUCGGUGGAAAGAUGUAACAAAAAUGAACACACCAUUCCUUGCCUUUGAAGUGAAUUCCAACCCAGUUAGUAGACCAGGUUCAAUGUGCUCAGAUAAAGAGCCUGGGGAUAUCCUCCCAUGGCCAUGCAACUAGACGGCUCCUCCAUCAAAACACCCAUCUCGACAGAAAUGGCGCCCUUCUACCUCUCCAAGACAACGGCUUAGAGCGCCCACCAAACCUCCAGCCUCCUCUCGAUGUUCUCAUUCACUCAUAGAUUCUACUGGUUCUUUCUUCCCUACAUGGGCCCUUGGCCCAAGACCCCCUUAGUGGACAUCCCCCGGGACACAGUAACACUUUUGUUCUGGUUGGGAGUCUCACCCAGCAGCCGGAAUAAAGCUCUCAAGACUGUCACAUCCCGGUACUCCCAGCUUCAACCAAGGCCUCCACAAGGCUUCUUGUGCUCAUCAGGAUACAGUCCCAGACCUCAAAGCCCUAUAUGACCUCCAUACCUGUCAUUCCCAGCCGCUCACUCUGACUAAGGCUGUAAGCUGUGCCAUCUGACCUUGUGACUGUUUAUCUCUUUGUCAGAAAGCCUUUCUCUCCCAACUACUCACAUGACCAAUGUCCUCAUGUCUCUCAUGUCUUCAGGUAACCCCUCAAACAACAAUGGGGAGAAUAGGUCUUUGUUUCAUUUGUAGCUGUGUCCCCAUCUCUUGGAACAGUGCCAAGUACAAAGUAGGCCCUCAGUUAUUACUUCUCAAAGGCAUGAGCCGAAAGGAAGAAUGGCUGUAAGAUUGGAGAGGCUCUAUCUAUUGAUAAUAGAAACCGUCUUCAGAAUAAGAAUCUACAAUACUGUAAAAACAGUGAGUCAAACACGGAACAAAGAAAAGAACCUACUUCAUACACUCGCUUUCCACCCAAGUUCCCUUCCCAGGCAAGAGAAGACAGCCCCGCUGCCCCACCCCACCCACACAAGGUAACCAGGACUGAUUGUGGAAGUCCCUCCUAGAAAGCCCAAAGAUCUUUAAUCAGUAUUUUUACAAAUCCUGCCUGCUACACAGAGCUCUAUCUCUUUCUUUAAUAAUUCUGGUUGUUUCCCACAAGGCAACAAGAAAAACGGGUUCUCAAGAUGCCACAUGUGUCUGUAGAAACCCAUCUGCUUGGAGAAACGAGAGCAUAGGAAAUGUUGGGUGUUGUGGUAUCUGAACUGGAGGUCCCAGCACUUAGGCGGUAGAGGCAAGGGGCUCGAGUUCCAGGCCAGCCUGCUGCAUGGACACUAUGUCAAAGCAAAACAACUACAUCGGAGAGCACAGUGUUGUGGGCUCAGUGAUGGUGGCUUCAGGGCCACUGUUGUCAACCAGAGAGCAGACUGUUUCGGCUCCUGUGACCACCGCCCUCACGGACCAAAGCUAAAGAACAGACAAGCUUCCAGGCUUGGCCAAUGUAACUUCAAAAACGAUUUGUGAAUUCAAAAUCUGUCUUAUGAUUUUGGAAACCCAGUUCUAACAGCAAGACCCAGAGACAGGUCAGACAGACAGAGUCAGAGAUCCUGCAGCUGACUGACAAAGCCAAGGCAGAAGCUCCCGAGUCCCCACCAGACCCACGUCCCAUUUCAAAAUCAUGGAGCCUUUCUGUCAUUUUUCAGUGAGUGGUGAAUUCCAGAGCAAACCCUGGCACACACCAGGCUCCCAGUAAAGAUCUAUGAAUGAAUGAACGGAGCCCUUAAGAUACACCUGCUCCACAGAAUACACCUGGUGGUUGUCAGCAAACCACAGCUCCAGAAGCAUAUCGGCUGAGGCACGCUCUCUCAUGAGUGACAAAACCAAGUUGAAAAGCAAAACUUCAGGGACACUGUGGCAAAAAUAAAAAUUUUCAGGUAAUAAAAAAAAUUACCGGAAGAUCACCAAACGCACAGUAUUUUUUAACAUUUCAUCUUAGUGGGAUUUUAGAAUGGGUACACUCGAAACAAAGUCGUUAGCAGGUCCAGAUCAUCGCUGUGUUCUAGUACACGGGUAUGCUCAAGAUUAUGUUAACUAACUGGCUUCAGGCUCCUGUGGACUGGUGGAGGCUGGAGGUGCAUGCAUGGGUGUGUGCUCACACACCCAUGCAGGCAGGUGCGGAUGUAUGUGUGUAUGCUCACACACCCAUGCAUGCAGGUGUGUGUGCUCACAUACCCAUGCAUGCAGGUGUGGAUACAUGUUUGUGUGCUCACACACCCAUGCAUGCAGGUGUGGAAGCCAAUGACCAUCUUCUCCCUUGCUAACCACCUCAUUUCUGACACAUGGCCUCUCUUACUACACUUGGGGCUCAGUGCUUUGGCUAAGCUGAUAUAGGCAAGUAUAUUCCAGGGACCCUCCUGCCUCUGCCCCACAGCACCCGGGCUACAAGCGUGCACCAUUGUGGCUUUUAUGUGGGCAUUGAGGAUCUAAAGUCAGUCCUCAUGUUUGGGUGUUGCCCUCCCCAUCCCCUACCUUUGGAUUUCAAGUUAUGAUUCCUACUUCAAUAGUCCUUUUGAAGACUUGGGGUCUCAACUGAUCCAAGGCAGAGAGGUCCUUUCUUCUAAACUUGUAGUUAUUGUCUUGGAUAAGCAGAA
rnacentral:sRNA from 1 species